GCUAACAUUCAAAUUAAUUAAAUUUGAUAAGUGAACUAAACUCAGUUUUCAUCAACCUGUUGUGAACACUACUUUUAAAUAAGUAAGUAGUAAUUUGGGGUUGGAGAACUUGCUUAACUUGAUAUAUCCCAGUUAAGUCAAAUUAGAAAAAAUAAUUUAUUGUACCCAGUGUCCUUUGCGCGUUCUAUCAGACAUGCGCAGAUCUGCCCUGCCUACUUUCGCGCUCUUUCCAACACCUUUCUCAUUUAUUUUCGCCAUUGUGGGUUUAUUUGUCCUCAGCACACUGAUUUGGCUGAAGCAAAUGGUCAGAAGUCCACACAUACCUCAGUCUCUGCAAUUACAGGUCAACCAGAGCAGUAUUCUCUAAUGCAGGGGUCCCCAACCUAUUCCACUAAGGCACACUGUGGGUGCAGGAUUUCAUUCUUACCAAACAAGAUGACAACACUUUUUCCCCAAUCUGGUGUUUUACAAGUGCAAUCAGUUGAUUGCAGUCAGGUGUGGCUUGUUUUAGCAGAAGCCUCAUUGGUUCAACUGUCUCUGCUGGAUCGGCUGGAACAAAAACCAGGACCCACAGUGUGCCUUGAGGACUGGGUUGAAAACCCCUGCUCUAAUGCAGUGGACUCGUAAGUACUGCACAUUUUCUGCUGGAAAGAGAGGCUACUUGCUUAAGCAUUACCGCUUAAAACAUGGAUACCACACUCGGACAUCCCUACUCCCCAUGUCUUCAUAAGGACUGCCUCUGCACAUUUAAAUCUUUUAAUGCACUCAAAGUACACCUAUCGACAUGGCACUCUCAAAAAGAUGCAGACAAAAGUGGAGAAACUGCAUUUGACUGUCAGUUGUGCAACUUUGUGGAGCCUUGUUAAGAAGCAGACUUCUUUACCCAUUUGCGAAGACAUCUUAAGCUGAGGCAAAUGGUUACUUGCAUAUAUCAAGACUGUAACUUUCAGAGCACUGUUUAUUCUACCUUCACUGCACACAAAAGCAGAAAUGUGAAAUGAGUUUGAACCAUAGUAUGGGUAGGACAUUUGUGUCUAAAUCAUUCAAUCCCAAUAAAAGUUGCUUCAAUCAAAAAAAAUAUUUUUAAUGAAAGAAAAAGAACCUCUUGCUAAAAUGUUUUUUUGAAAAUCUAUAUUUUUUGAAAUAUAUAUAUUUUUUUAUUGACGUGUCACUUUUUUUGCAAAGCAUAAAGUUUUAAACUUUUUUUUUAAAGUGGAAAAAGUUUUUGAAGGCACUUUUUUUCGAUUGAAUCAU